GACGUAGGCGGUUCUUCAAGUCGAGUGUAAAAUCUCCCGGCUCAACUGGGAGGGACCAUUCGAAACUGAGGGACUAGAGGACAGCAGAGGGAGGUAGAAUUCCCGGUGGAGUGGUGAAAUGCGUAGAUAUCGGGAGGAAUACCAGAGGCGAAGGCGGCCUCCUGGGCUGUUUCUGACGCUGUGGUCCGAAGGCGUGGGGAGCAAACAGGAUUAGAUACCCUGGUAGUCC
rnacentral:rRNA from 1 species